rnacentral:lncRNA from 1 species
UUUGCUACAAGUUUCUGGGCUAAGGCUUGCAAGUGUUGCUGUUGAAAUAACCAUCUAAACACUAACUCCUGCUUUGCCUUCGUGUAGAGCUAACUCUCGCUGACGGUGUCUACGAGCUACACCCGGUGCCAGAAGACGGAGCUGUAGCUGAGCUGCCAGUUCCAGAAGCCGGAGCCGCCCCAGCUAAAGACCAGUUCCCUUCCUCCUCGCUUGAAGGCAAGCCCCGGAGCAUAACCCCAAAUUUCCAAACUUGCACAUGCCUUCUUGCUUAUGUUUGUGCAUUUACGUAUAGGAGUUGUUUGCAACCUUAGGUGCAUGACAUAGUUCCUUUGAUCUGAACACUAGUUUGUUGGGUCGAGUAGUUGCACUGCUUAAAUAGGUAUCGGUAAAAGCCGAGUGAUUUUCUGUCACUCACGAGUUAUAGGAGUUGGUUGUUUUCCCUCCUGUUACAAUUAUAAGGACGAUGGACGGGGCAGGGUUUUGGUUAAAUCUUUUGGUGGUCGGCUGAUCGCCCCGUCUUUCUAUGGAAUCUGUUAAGGCCCGACAGUGUUGAUGUUCGUGAUCAAGUAUUUGAAAGUACUAAUCUCAUACCUAGUAUGGGAUGGGGAAGCCUAGUACCUGAUUGAACUAGGGCGUGGCUUAUACCCCUGCUGUCCCUGGAACGAGGUUCCCAUGGUGCAUCAUGUGGGUGCAAGUGCGGUCACAGUACGGUAGAGGCCGGGAUUGUGGAGCAUUGCAUGCCAAGGGAAGUUUGGACCUGACACAUGCCUGGGAAUUGAUGGGUACGGCCGACACAGGAAGCGACCCUUGUGGUACAAGGAUGUCGUGAGAUUAGGUUCGCCACGCAUGGUUAAGAAACUCGAAUCGAUUCGUAUGCCUCUCACAGUUUGAGACUGCUUGAUCGCUAUGCUACACUAAGUAAUGAAAGAGUCUCAUGAUGACAUGGUCUUGAUGAUGAGCUUAUAUACAUAAAGAUGGAUCUAUGUUGGCUUAGAGUAAGAUGCAAAUGUAGACUGGUUGAUGAACUUAGAAUCUGAGCUAAAAUAUCGAAAGUAAGGACCCACUGUAGUCGCUUUUGGCAACACAAACCCCUCAGCCAAAGAGCCUUGCAUGUCUAGACGUGGUGGAGUAGUUUUUACCACCGGUCGGGUAAGUCUUGUUAAGCUUAGAAGCUCAGCCUUGUUGUGGCUUCUCUUUUCAGGUGAAGUUGCAGCUUCCGAGCUUGCUGUUGGCUCAUGGCCGCCCCAACUCCCUCCGGGUUGGACGGUCGAGUGGGAUCCCUCCUCGGACGGCGGGGAUUGGGAUCAUUGAUGUCCUGGCUGGCCUCACCAGGGACGUCCGACCCCGACGAGUAGCUUCCGCUUGUUUUACCUUCUGUUUGUUUUCUUCAGAACUUGUUAAACUCUGAUUUACAACCAAGUGUGUAACAACUUGUUAAUCUAAUGGUGGACCUGUUGUAUUCUCUGGAACCACUCACCUUCGUGUGGGUCAUGCUAACUCGGUCUUGUUAAGUGGUUAAAUCGGAUGAAAUCUGAUGGCACCUUGAGUUGACUCGAUUAAGGCAUGAGUGUCGCGUCUUAAGCGACAUAACUGUGCUUUAGUUAGGUUAAUCCGAGGUGGUUCCGCCACAGCUGGUACCAGAGCAAGGUUUAGCAGGACAGAGAACACAAUAGGUCCUAAACACUUUCUUUUUGAAUAAAAUUUUGCAAGAAAAAUGUUGAAAAAUCUCGUACGAUCGUUAAGGAUGACCUUAGUACGAUAGGCCCUAGGGGAUUUUGGGGUUAUUUUUAGGUGGCUAUUACUUAUUGGUUAUCUUGCUAACCCCCAGCACUUCGACACGUGUAUCAUACGUGUGCCGAGUUCCGCAUCAUGAGUAUGCGAGGGUUGAUAGGGAGUUCUAUUCAAGGGAUCCUAUCAUCGCGGUUGUUUUGCCCACGUUUAUCACAUGUGCGCAGGUUCCGUAUGUUAACUCAUACGAAGGAUGGUAUGGCUUGAUUCCAACAAACCUAUCAUCACGGUUGUUCGCCCACAUCUAUUAUACAUGCGCUGAUUCCGCAUCACGAGUAUGCGAAGGGUUAUACGGUUCCAUUCAAAGGGGACCUGUUUCCACGGUUGUUGCGCUGUCCAUGCAGCCUUAAACGCAUGGGUGCCGUUUCUAUAGUGAACGGUAAUGCUUGGGGACACUUUCAUGGGUGCUGGCAUGAAAGGUCUAGGUGGUGGUGUUUUUCUGCAGGAACACUAACCGCGUUCACUUAGGAGACGCUACUAGAACCCGACUAGAUAUUAUAGGGAGAGACGUACUGGUUGCCUUGCCACCGGCACUGACUGCGUAAGACCAAAGGUUUUUGGCAGUUGUUUUGGUUGAGAGGAUGAGGUAGGUUGUGCAUGCGUCUUAAACUAAAAUCUGUGAAACCACCUCCCUAGCACAACCUUGCCUUGGUCAAAGCUCUUCCUCGGUUUAAGGAUUUCUAGCUUUCCCUUCCAGCUUGCGCUCCGGUCGAAAUCCGAGUGCUUUUUCUACCCGACCUGUUCUUCUUCUUUGAGCCUCUAUCUCACGUUGUUUUGGUUCUUGGUUCUAGAUGGCUGCCCCCGGACACGUGCUGUACGGCGCUGACGGUGUUUCUCACUCUACGUGCCUACACUUUGAGGGUUUUCCUGCUAUUCUGUGGGAUACCUUGAGGUGGUUUGCGUACCAGUCCCCGCCUUUGUACGUGGGACAGAUGUACCAGGAGCACGGAGUGCAGAGAUGCAACGUGCAGGUGGUUGUACCUCCACCCCCUGUGCAGCCCAAGUGGCCCCAGCUCGAAGUCUUGACUUGCGGACACGCUCUGGAGGACACCUGGGAGUCGGCUGCUCUGCACCUCCUCACCCAGUUAUGUCGGCUACACCCGCUUGAGGUCACCUUAGACCCAAUCGGCUUGUUCCCUGCUAGGGAUCGGCUAGACCCGGCGUGGCUUGAUCGAGGUGUUGGCAACCUCCCAUUCUCUGGUCACCAUCUCUACCACCACCAGAUGCAUGUCAGCUUUGUAUCGGCUGAUUGAACUUCAAGGCCGAUCGAUGGCUGUCUUGGCUCGGAUAGCCAUAGACACCCAAGGGCUUUUCAACUCCGCCAAGAGAGACUUGGUGGGAUAGUCGUAUCAGCUUAUCCAGAGAGGCAUACAAAUCCAUGACAUGCAAGCCAGAAUCUCCGAGCUCGAGGAAGAAGUGACGGACCUGGUGGAUGGCAUGAUCGAGCUUGCCGAAGAGAAGAUGGAGAUCAAGAUGGAGCUCGCAGUUGCUAAUGCUCAUUUGGACGAGCACCACGCCGAGCUUGAUGCUAUACAUGCCCUUGAGAUGCAGCUGGACGAACAAGAAGAUCCCGAGGAGGUCAUGGGAGCAUCCAGCAUGGACAUUGAGGAUGGCGACGCCCCUUCUCCGACUCAUAGUGUUCCCUCACAGGUUAAGAGCUGUAGGAAUCUAAUUUUUUGUUGUACUCCUCGGCAACCUAAGUUUUGGAUAGUGAUGUAAUAGGUUAGCCUUGAGUCAAGUAUUCCUCCUGUGUUUUGGGGAACAACAAUGCAAUGAUCUUAGUGAAAUCAGAUCUUGACUCGACUUUGUGACCCCCUUUGCGACACGCCUUGGAUGCCAGGUUGUGUGAGUUUUGUGCGGUGACCACACACAAGUUUUCUGUGGGUCUGACCAAAAGCUUGGCCGACCCGGAGUCGUAAGGUCGGAUGCGCUCGACUCCUCGAGGCAGUUCUUCGCCUUGCCCGACCUCUGGUUGCACUGUUUCGCUUAGCCCGACCCUUUGGGCCUAAGGUCGGAUAUAGUGGAACUCCUGGGAUAUGGUUAUGGUUCGCCUAAAGUUGUGUGCAGAACUAAGAUAGUUGCUAACUAAGAUGGCAAGAGGAAGUGUGUAUCUCUUUAAUAAAGACAUGUUGUUGUGUUGCAGUAUCGGCAAGAGUCGCAAGUGCGGAUUUAACAUAUGCGUUCCCACAUGAUUGGAAUACUUAUGAGGUUAUGGAAUUAAUGGAACGUUGAAUCUUGCAGAUGGUGCAUCGCACCCGAUCUGGCUCUGUGCCUAGCGGUAGCGAGCAGAGGCAGGAUCUUCCUCCGCCUCCACCCCCACCCUCGCUGGAAGCCCUCCUAGCAGCUCAAACUGAGCUGCUAAGGCACAUUGUACAAGGACAACAACAACAGCCCCAUGGAGGGAGAGUUCAUCAACAACCUCAAGUUGCUCGUUAUGAGGACUUCUUGAGCAUGCAACCCCCUUUGUUCUAGAAGACACAAGACCCACUCGACGCCGAUGCCUAGAUUCGUGCCAUCGAAUCCAAGUUCUCCCUCCUCACCGCCCAUUGCCUGGAGGAGAACAAGGCUCGGUUCGCCACGCAGCAACUGCGUGGUUCUGCCCUCCUUUGGUGGGAUCACUACCACGCCAUGCAGCCGGCGGACCACGUCGUCAGCUGGGAGGAGUUUAAGAUGGCGUUCAGGUGCCAUCAUAUCCCUGAAGGUCUCCUGGAGCGUAAACUCAACGAGUUCCUGGCCCUUACCUAGGGAAAUCGAGAUGUCCUGCACUAUGCGCAGGCCUUCAAUGAUCUGUGCCGAUACGCUGGAUACCAUGCGGACAUAGAUGAGAAGAAGCGGGAUAGGUUCCGCAGAGGACUAAGCCUGGAGCUCAAGGAGAGGUUAAACCCGAUAAGGGUGAAUAUGUACAACGAGUUGGUCAACUUGGCCAUCUCACAAGAGGACUGCGUGAAGGCUCUAGCAGCCGAGAGGAAGAGGAAGGCUCCACUGCCAACGCCUAGCCUACCUACACAACAUUUUAGAAUGGUUUCACCAUAGGCGCCCAGCCGACCCCAGCCGUCGGGAAGAUGGGUUGCCCGACCCCCACCAAUGGCAGCACUUCGUUUCCCGGGAUUCCAACCUCAGGCACCGCGGCCGACCCUACCGCCGCCACCGCGCCCUGCAAAUGGUAACCGCUGCUUCACCUGGGGCAAUGUGGGGCAUUUCGCCAAGGACUGCCCCAGGAAUCAGAAUCAGCGCCCAGGGUAGAGCAAUGCGAUGCUCAAUAAAGGGAAGAGGCCCAAGAUGCAAGUUCACCAAGGUCGGCUGAACUUCACCAACGCAGCAGAGCUUCCUGAAGGUGCACCGAUAAUGACGGGUACCUUUCUUAUUCACAGUCUUUUAGCUUUGGUUUUGUUUGACUCAGGAGCCUCACAUAGUUUUAUUGGAAGAAAGACUAGUGACAAAUAUGGGUUAAAGGAAUGCCAAACAAGAGGAUCUUUUAGGAUAUCCACCCCGGGUGGGGUAAUCACAUCUGAUAGGAUAAGUGUCAAUGUGCCUAUCCAGCUAGGCCGAACCCUUUUUAAGGAGAAUCUUGUUAUUCUCGAUCUGGAGGGGAUUGAUGUCAUCCUAGGAAUGGAUUGGAUGACUAGGCACCAGGUUGUGCUAGAUAUCCCAGCCCGAGCCAUCCAUGUCAACUCACCCCACCAAGGCCCCUCUGUUGUCCAAUUGCCUCGUCGAGAAGAUGUGAAUUCUUGUGCGUAUCCCGCAAUGGAGACCCGACUGAAGGACAUCCCUGUAGUCUGUGAGUACCCUGACGUGUUUCCCGAUGUUUUGCCGAGCAUGCCGCCCGAUAGAGAUGUGGAUUUUUCCAUAGAGUUGAUCCCCGACACCGCCCCUAUCUCCAAAAGACCUUAUUGGAUGCCACCCACCGAGUUGGCUGAGUUGAAGACCCAACUACAUGAGUUGUUGGAGAAAGGCUUUAUCCGACCCAGCACUUCACCUUGGGGUUGCCCAGCUUUGUUUGUGAAGAAGAAGGAUGAGAGUCUACGCAUGUGUGUGGACUACCGACCCCUCAAUGCGGUGACUGUCAAGAACAAGUAUCCCCUUCCCCACAUUGAUGAUUUGUUCGAUCAGUUAGCUGGAGCAAGAGUAUUCUCCAAGAUUGAUCUUCGUUCCGGUUAUCACCAAAUCAAGAUCAGACCCUGUGACAUUCCCAAAACUGCCUUCUCCACAAGAUAUGGACUCUACGAGUACCUGGUUAUGUCUUUUGGACUCACCAAUGCACCCACUUACUUCAUGUAUCUCAUGAAUUCGGUGUUCAUGCCCGAGUUGGACAAGUUUGUGGUGGUGUUCAUUGAUGAUAUCCUAGUGUACUCGAAGAACGAAGAAGAGCAUGCCAAUCAUCUUCAUGUGGUUCUUCAACGGUUGAGGGAUCAUCAGCUUUAUGCCAAGUUCUCCAAGUGUGGAUUCUGGCUAGAUAGUGUUAAGUUCUUCGGACACACUAUCUCUCGGAAUGGCAUAGCCGUUGACCCAGCAAGGUACAGGAAGUCAUGGACUGGAAGUCACCCACUUCAGUUCACCAGAUCCGAAGUUUUCUUGGAUUGGCAAGCUACUAUCGGCGCUUCAUUCCGGAUUUCUCCAAGAUAGCUAAGCCGAUGACUGAGCUAUUGAAGAAAGAGGUCAAAUUUGUGUGGAAUGACAAGUAUGAAGAAGCCUUCAACACCCUGAAACACUUGCUGACCUCAGCCCCGGUUUUGGCUCAACCUGACCCUUCUAGGCCGUUUGACGUGUACUGUGACGCCUCUGGCACUGGACUUGGGUGUGUUCUUAUGCAAGACCACUGAGUUAUUGCCUAUGCCUCAUGGGCAUUACGACCUCAUGAGCUAAACUAUCCGACCCAUGAUCUUGAGUUGGCAGCAGUGAUUCAUGCCUUAAAGAUAUGGAGGCACUAUUUGAUGGGCACCCACUACAACAUCUACACCGAUCACAAGAGCCUCAAAUACAGCUUCACUCAAGCCGACCUCAACAUGCGACAAAGAAGAUGGUUAGAGCUGAUUAAGGAUUAUGACUUGGAAGUACAUUAUCACCCUGACAAGGCCAACGUAGUGGCAGAUGCUCUUAGCCGCAAGACACAUUGCAAUUGCUUGUCGGCAACCAACUUCACAAAGACUCUGUGCCAUGAGGUGGGAAAACUUAAUUUGGAAAUUGUUUCCCAUGGAACCCUCGGUCACAUCUCCCUUGAGUCUGCUUUGGAGGACCAAAUUGGGAUGGCACAGUUAGAGGAUGAGGAAGUAAGGCGAAUCAAAAGGAAGAUUUCAUGGAAGGAUGAGGGGUAUAAGCAAUUCCGACAGGAUGAGAAUGGGAGAGUGUACUAUGAGAACCGACUUGUUGUCUCGUCCGACCCCACUCUUAGGAAGCAACUCCUAGAUGAAGCUCAUCUCUCCAAGUUCUCAAUCCAUCCUGGCAGCAAUAAGAUGUAUCAUGAUCUCCGUCAAAUCUUCUGGUGAAGUGGAAUGAAACCAGAGAUUGCAUGGUAUGUUUCAGAAUGCGACACCUGUCAACGUGUCAAAGCUAGCCAUUUAAAGGUAGCAGGUACCCUGCAGCCCCUACCUAUUCCCUCUUGGAAAUGGGAAGACAUCAGCAUGGACUUCAUUGUUGGACUACCCCUUACAUCGCAGCGGCAUGACUCCAUUUGGGUGAUUGUGGAUCGUCUUACCAAGACUGCCCACUUUCUUCCGGUUCACACCACCUACAUGGCCAAGAAAUAUGCGGAGUUGUAUCUUGACCGCAUUGUUUCCCUGCACGGUGUGCCUAGGACGAUCAUAUCUGAUCGAGGAGCUCAGUUUGUAGCGCAUUUUUGGGAACAUCUACAAGCAUCAAUGGGCACCAAGCUCAUUCGUAGCUCGACUUACCACCCUCAAACCGAUGGUCAAACGGAAAGGGUAAAUCAGAUCCUUGAAGAUAUGUUGAGAGCUUGUGUAAUCCAUUAUGACAAAAAUUGGAAUAAGUGCUUACCAUUGGCAGAGUUCUCCUAUAACAAUAGCUACCAGACUAGCUUGAAGAUGGCACUGUUUGAAGCCCUAUAUGGUCGGAAAUGUCGGACGCCGUUGAAUUGGUCACAAGUCGGCGAAAGACAAACCUACGGCCCUGACUUAUUAGUAGAAGCCGAAGAACCAGUGAAGAUAAUUCAAGCAAACCUCAAGGCCGCCUAAUCUCGACAGAAGAGUUACUCCGACAGGAGAAGAAGACCCCUGCAGUUUGACAUUGGUGAUCAUGUGUAUCUUCGAGUCUCCCCGACCAAAGGAGUGCAACGGUUUGGAGUAAAAGGAAAGUUAGCUCCCCGAUACAUUGGUCCUUAUGAAGUUGUAGAAAUCUGUGGACCCGUUGCUUACAGGAUCCAACUCCCAGAACAACUUUCAGCCAUACAUGAUGUUUUCCAUGUCUCCCAAUUGAAUAAAUGUGUUCAAGUCCUAUCGUUGUCAAGAUUAGUUGGUCAAGACUUAGACUAGUAAAUUUCUUUUAUGCGCGUUAGGCUUCGGAUGGUGGCAUGGGAGACACGGGGUUUAGACUGGUUUGGGCAAGGGAAUGCCCUACGUCCAGUAUCGGGAGCUGCUCAUGUUGCCCACGCAAGGUUCUGUAGUAGGGGUUACAAGAGUGUGAGAGAGGGAUUUGGUCCCAAGUCUCUUGGAUGAACCCUAACGCUCUAGCAGGGUGCGCUCGUGCGUUCUGUUGUCUAGGGAGCAUUAUGGUGUUGUGCGUUUAGCCUCCCCCUAUCUCCGGCCCCCGAUUCCUCUUUUAUAGCAUGAGGAGGAUACUGGGGUUACAGGUGAGACUGAGUGUGGAGAGCAGUAAAAAGGUAAACAUGGUUGAGUAAAAAGAAUAAUGAGAGGGGGGGAGCAAGUUCCCAGGUCGUCGGAAGAGGGAGGCGGCAGCUGCACCCUGUCGAUAGCUUCCUCGGCGACUGUAGCCGUCGGACGUGAUGAUGGCACUUCGUCGUGACCCUCGUGUCCGUUGGGGGAGGUGACGGAUCUUGCCGCCCUGCUGACGGCCUGCGGAGAGCGAACGUCGCAUCUCUGCCGUCGGGCGCGCGGGACACGAGAGCGGGCGAGGCCUCUUCCUGCCAUGGGCGGUGCAGCUCAUGAGUGCCCUGUGGCCAAUCGGGAAGGGUCGCGGCUACUGUAGCAUGUACUGUGCGGCCCCGCAUGGGUACUUGCGACGGGUUGCGUGAGGGUGCAGAGAUCCUUCCUUCUGACAGCUUUGUGGCACAUUUAUGGUGGAAUUGACAGGGGGACCCACAAGAGCCGCGCCCGAGGCGAAUACUCAUCUGGUGGGCCUGAGCCGGCCCGACCUUCUACGCUUGGGGUCGGGCGAAGCGGAGGCCUGCGGCGGGGGGUGGGAUGCUCCCGACCCCAGUCCUGCGGUCGGGCGAGGCGGAGCUUGGUCUCGCAGGGGUCAGGGACGCCUGACCCUAGGACGCCGGGUCGGGCGAGGCGGAGCGCGAUUCUUGCUCCCCGUGUUGGGCCGGCGCUGGCCUUGUUACCUCAGGUGGGCCUGGGCCUUUACGUUUUGUCGUCUUCGUGGGCUUGGGAGGAGUCGUUAAUAUUUCCCCCCAACAGUAGCCCCCGAGACUGUGGUGGAGCAGGGACGCUCCUCCAGAGGCUGUUGUCAUCGCCAGUUAUGGGUGCUCACAGUUGAUCUGGGAAAGGAGGUGUUGUUUGGAUGGCUCGACCGAGGGGGUUAAUUAGGCGACGCACCCUAUGAGCGACUUGGCGCGGGGGGACUUCUUGUCAUCCCCUUCUACCUGCGAGCCUUAAGUUGAGACCACCCGUGUGGCCUUAGGUUGCGAGGCCAGCCCCCGAGCCCCUGCGCGUUGUAGGGGACCGGUCGGGAGACCAGGUCGACUUUUGUGCGUUACCUCUCAAGCGUCCAUUCGUUAGGACGGAGGGGGCCAGCCGUGCCACGCUAUCCUCGUCGGACGAACCGUGGUGCUCAUUGAGCUGCUAUCGGGCAAAUUCGAGUUGGGCCCUGGUCCCCGUUCGGGGGGGUUUGGCUUGGGCUAAGCUGGUGGCGUACCCUAGGUUCCGAUCGGCCAGUUCAUAUAGUUCCCAAAUCCGUUCGGUUGGAUCCAGGGGCUCGUUGCCUUUCUUCGGGGAAAAACCAUGAACUGUGAUGCCGGUUCGGGCUCGAAUGCGAGAUUGAGAUGCCUUGGGCUAUCGCGCGCCUGGGUGGUGGUCGCUUGCGGACCCGUCUCCUCUCACCCCUCGCUCGGGGGUGUCUUGGAGCGGUUGUCGAACCCGUGGCGGGCCAACCUUUGAACUCCUGGACCGUAAUGGGCCGUGGGGGCGUUUCAGCCCCAUAUCCCUUUCUUACCUUUUGGUGGGCCUUGGGCCGGACGUGGAUGGAGGCCGCGUCUUGGGCCGGAUGCGGAGGGAGCAGCGCCUUGGGCCAGUCAUGGGGGACGGUCGUGCAUGCAUCCCCAGGAGCUGAAGCAAUGGAGGGCACCGACCCACGAAUCGAGGGAGGAGGGGAUGUUUCUGUUGCCAGCCGUGCGCACGGUUUCCGAAAAAGAGGCGGGUGUGGCGGAGCGUACCUGGCGCCGCAUUUAUGGUGACGAGGGCAUCUGUUCCGCUCCCCCCGCGCUUUUCCUAUAAAACGGAAACCUCACCUCACCGGUUCCGCCCGCCGUGUGCUUUCAAGCCUUUUUGCCUCCUCGCGCGCACUUAGCUCUCUUGCGCCCGCUUCGUCUUCCUCCGCCCAGUGCCGCGCCCUUUCUCCUCGUCCCCCGUCGAGCCUCUUUCUCUCCGGUGAUGGGAUCUUGGGCGCUUUCCCACUUCGGCCCCUCGCGCGCCGAGGACCUGGUAAGGAAGGGUCUCCUCUUUGAGAGGACAGAGGCGGGCAAAUGGGAGCUCCCGGGGAUGGAGCAGGCACCGACGCCGCCCGCCGGCUAUGUUGUCUCCUUCGCCCACUUCCACGAGAAAGGUUUCGCGACUCCGCCGAGCCUCUUCUUCCGUGGGCUUCUGCAUUACUAUGGGCUUGAGCUGCAGCACCUCAAUCCCAACGGCAUUCAGCACAUCAAGGCAUUCGUCGCGUUGUGCGAGGGGUUCCUAGGCAUCGAGCCCAACUUCUCGUUGUGGAAAUACUUCUUCACGGUCAGCCUGUACCAGAAGACCAAGAAGAGAGGGAGCCAACAGCGGAUGCCCCCGGUGCCGAUAGGGUGCGCCGGAAUCCACCUCCGCCAUACUCGCGCCAAGGAGUACAUGGCGAUGAAGACCGCGGCAUCCCACAAGGGGUGGCACCAGCAGUGGUUCUACGUGAAGAACUAGUCCGACUCCCCCUUGCCGGUGUUUACCGGCCGGGUUAUCGAGGUGGCGCUGAAGGUGUGGGCGUAUGGCCCAGUUGACAAGGAGAAGAAGCGGAUCCAUGGCUUGCUGCAGGCCAUUGAGCACCUGAAGGGGCGGGGGCUGACCGAAGCGGGAGUUAUCGGGGCGUACCACGCCCGGCGGGUGGAGCCGCUGAUGCUCCGGGUCCGUUCGCUGGCCGAGAUGACCCUUGAUGCACCGAUUGAGGGCACCACCCUCGCGACGGGUGCGCUCGCCGCCUUCGAGAUCCGGCGGCGGAUUUCGGAGGCGCUAGAGGACAAGGGCGCCGACUACCCGGUGCCCGAGCACCCUCCGAUGCGCCCGGACAAGAACUUUGUCGACCUGGUAAGGAAUUUGUGCGCAAACCUUCUUUUUUGUGUGUUUCUUGGUUCGCCGCUCUGACACAGGGCCUUUUCGUGUCUGGAGGGCAGCCUGACCCGGGUCGUGGACUCGCGCCCGCCGGUGCCGGAGGAUGCCGAGCAGCGGCUGCAGAACCGUCUCCUUGCUGAGAAGCAGAAGUGCCGCAAGGACAAGGAGACGGCGAAGAAGAAGAAGAAGGCCGCCAAGGAGUUCCAACGGUGGCGGCGAGGGCAGGUCAUGUCGGACGUGAGACUCAGGAUAAUACCCUAGGGCUUCGGGGUUUCUUCCUCUGUAGACUCCUGCGGAGCUUCUGAAAGAUAGCCACAAGGGGAAAACCCUGAGUACGGGGUACUCAGCAAGUCUUACCCGACUAACCAAUAUAAUAGUUUUCUUGGGAUGUAUAUGAUAGCUUUUUGGUGUAAUUGGCUGAUGCAACUUUUGCCGAAAAGCUUACUACAAGUGAUGCCUUAGUUUUAUCUUUUAAUUGGGUUAAGUCAUUACCUAACCAUUCUAAAUGAUGAGCAGAAAGUAAAAACAACCAUAGAUGUUAAGUCAUACAUCAAAUAUCAAUCAAAGGUAUAUAUGUAUAUAUUGCAUGAAUUGAUACUACGAUGCUCAAUAGUGAUCAAGUGCAUUCAUAUCCGAGAAUUGCGGCGAUCCGGAUCUAUUUACAUCCUGCAGGAGAGUACUCUGAUCACCAGCUUUAUACGACUGUCCAGGUCGUACGUAACAACCUCUCGAUUAGCAAAAUCAAUGAUUAGGAAUAUGACUACCCGGACGCAGGGAUGCACCCCCACAUGGGACCCCACGUCUGGCCCGAUCACCAUGUGAGUUUCAGGCUACACCCCUGCCAAUCUCCAGCACGUCAAGCGCGGGUACGAAGUAUUCCUGAUCACAGAGUUUACUAACCUACUGGGCUUUGCUGGUCCCAUACCCAGUAAGUGAUCAGAUGCUUAUCACUUGAUCAAAGGUUAAGACAACGAAUCGGGCCUUAACCAAUUUAAUCUAGCAGACAGAACUACAUCUCUAGCUUCUGUCCGCUUUCAACUUUCCAAGAUAUCUUCUAUAAGCAACAUGUAUGACUCAAAAAGUUUUCCUUAAGGUUGGUAAACCAAGUAUGUAAGCAAGUAAGCAAAUCUAGACUUGGGUAUCUUCUAGGGUUUGAACAAGUGGCAAAGAUGUCCUUAAAACAAGGCAUGAUCAUACACAAGAAUAGGUUGCAAACAACUCCUAGACUUAGUGCAUACAUAAAGCAAAUAAUCGAUAAUUAGACACAUGAAAUAACGACUCCAAAAUAGAUAGGUAUAAAUGCACCGGGGCUUGCCUUGUUCGCUUAAAAAGUUAGUAUUCUCUGACGGGUUGGCUUCACAAGGGACUAACUCAAAAACUUCUUCGAAUUCCGAAGGUCCUUCUGAAAAUUCCAAAUAUUCUCCUUCUGGUGCUUCGGGAUCUAUAGCAUAAUACAUGCAGGGGUUAGAAAUGCAAAAUUUUGAAUAAAAGACUAUACAACUUUCCUUCAUGAUAAAGUUGCAAGCCAACAAGGACUAUACAACCUAUCAUGAUAAAGUUGCAAGCCAACACACAUAAACCCAAAAAGAUUAACCCACAAUUUUUAUUUUUCUUACUUAACCCUCCUUAAGGCUUUUUCUUUUAUUUUUAGAAAAAGUUAUAAUUAUUUUCUAACUUGAAAACCUAAUUUCCUAUGAGUUAAGAAUAAUUUGUGAUUUAAGAAAAUGUUAUUCAUAUUUUAUACAUUUUAUAAAUAUUAAGUAUUUAUUUAAUUACCUUAAAAGGAAGGCAUUAAAUAAAUACCCGACUUUUUAUUAUUUUUCUAGGGUGUAAAAAUUUUAAUGCAUAAAGAAAAUAAAACAAGCCUAACAAAAUUGGUUUCACUAAUUUUGGACACUCCUAGAAAUUUCUGUGAUUUAAAUGGUGUAAAACGGAUUUAAACUAAUUACUUUCUUAAAGGAAAUCUAAUUUUCCCGAAAAAUACCCGGAAAAACUUUUCUUACUCAGCCUAACUCUACCCCCCUCUCAUGCGCACUGGGCCCCACGGUGCGGACCCGCCGGCCUUAUUCUCCCCCUAACGGGCCCCGUGGGCCGAUUCUCGUUUUCUUUCCCCUUCUCCGGCCCGACACCGGCCCAACGGCCUUCUUCCUUUUUCUCCUUUCUUACGCGAACGCGGCCUGCUUUCACUGCGCCUCCGGCCUUUUUCCCUUUACGGCCGAUCGCGCGCGCGUCGCUGGGCUUCAAGGCCGCGGCCCAACAGACCGCCGCGCGCCCGGUCUCCUUCUCCCCCUCCUCUCCUUUCUCUCUCUGCCACACGGGCCCGAGCGACCAGAUGCUUCUUCCUCCUCCCGCCAAAACGCGCACGCGACAGGGGCGGCGCGACUCGCCGGCCGGCGCCCCACCGGCGGCGAUGCUGGGUCAGGACAGCACCCCUACACCCUCACGCACCUGCGCGCGGCGACAGCUCCUCGGGAGAUGGCCGGAGCCACUCCCUCCACGGCAGCGGGCGGCGGCGCCUACGGCCGGUCGCGGCUACGCACGACGACGGCUUAACUUACCCCGACGACUACUGCUACAACUUCCUAGUACCCCGAGGACUCACCUUCGACUACCCACACAGACAGAGAGGAGCGGCAAGAGGGUGCUCACCGUGAGCAGGAGGUGCGGCGACGGCGGACAGAAACAACGGCGAGCACGGUUACUCCGGCAUGGAUGUUGGACAACAACUUGGCUGGGGUGUAGCUGGGGUGUCUGUGGAGGAGUGGGCGAGAGGAAUCGACGGGAGGUGAGGCGUGGCGAUGGAAUUUUGCUCGGCGGCGGCAACGGAGACAGAGGCGCUGGCGGCGGUAAAAAGAGCGGCGGUGAAACGGCGGCGCGGGAGUGGUAAAUAUAUGAACUGUUUACCGCGCGCAUGGGCGACACCGUGGCCUACUCAUAGGCUUGCGUGGUGAGGAGGUGGCCUAGCUAGUUGCGCUCGCGAGCGACCGACGACGGCGGCGGCGACACGUCCUGUUGCUCUGUCAUCGCCCCUUUUCUUUCUCCUGAUGCCCGAAAUCUUCAGAGCUCCACCGCGGCCGAUUCCCAAUCCGACGGUGCACAUGUGUCUUAACCAAUGUUGUAGAUAAACUUGAAUCCUCCAACUUUUCUUUUGGCUUUACCCCGAGAUAAACAUCAAACCGGGCGAAAUUUUGAAUUGUUUCUCGUGUCUGUCUGAAUUUGACUGAAUCCAAAAUUCAGUUCGUCAGUUAACUGAUAGUGACGUCGAUCUCACUUGGUGAAUCAAAUUAGUGACCCAAUUCUUUUUCUUCCAGUCCAACUUCUUCCCAAAUGUGUUCUACAACAUCCCAAGUUUCCAUUUUGCUCAAGAACACUUACCCCUCUUGAUCUACAUUGCUCUGAAUUCAAGUCCAAAGUUGACCCUAUGCUGCUGUUUUCAGACUUAACCGAUUUCAGUGAUGUCAUUCGCAGUGACAAGAUGCUGACUUUGAGCUCGAAUUUGAAUUCAUUCCGUUCACUGUUCCUGGCCAACAACACCCAAAUAUUGUAGUCCAAAGUUCAUAAUUCAAUAUGGUAUAGUUGUCCUGAUGCACUUAUUUGAAAAAUUCUUCAGAAAUCAAUUUCCAAAAUGGACUCUGAGGCUGUUUUUUUUCUGAAUUCCUAUUUUCGGACAGUGAACAGUAAACUCAAUUUUCCUUUUUCUUCCUUUGAUUUCUCUGAGAUAUUUAGCACCAUUUAUGUUCCAAAUUCUUGAUCCUUAAGUUUUAGUCACUCUUACACUUAUAAUCCACAUUUUUGCCAAAUUUUUCUGAAUUUCAAAUUGAAAAAUCAAAUUUCGGUCAAAUUUGACCCGAAUUUGAUUUUCGGCCAAUUUCUUUUUCUUUUCUUCUCAACUUGCUUUUAAUUCUUCAAAGUCACUUAGAUGACUAAAUUGGCAGCUGUUACAGCCUCUCCCCCUUAAUAGAAUCUCAUCCCGAGAUUCCCGGGGUUAAAUCCUCGGUUUUGAGAAUGGAAAGGAAACUGCGUCAGGUCAAUUAUUCUUUCUUUUUCUGUACAAGGAUAGUGGGGUGGUGGCUUUUGUUCAUCGGUUCCUGAUGGUUUCAAAUAAUUCCGGAUAUUUAGACUCUAGGUCUUCAGCUUGUUCCUAAGUAGCUUCAUCCGGAGUAUGAUUUUUCCAUUGUACCUUGUAAAACAUGAUACUCCGAGUUCGGGUAUCUCGUGUCUUUUGAUCCAGCAUUUUAAUAGGUCUCUCUUCAUAGGUUAGAUCGGGCUCGAGUUCAAUCUCUGGAUCUUCUAAAAUUUCUUCUGGAACUCUUAAGCACUUCUUAAGCUGGGAUACAUGAAAUACGUCAUGUAUAGAAGUAAGUUGGUCUAGCAACGACAGUUUAUAUGCCACCGGACCCUUUCGUUCCAGAAUUUCAUAGGGACCAAUAUAUCUUGGGGCUAACUUACCCUUUACUCCAAAGCGUUGUACUCCUUUCAUUGGAGAUACCUUCAAGUACACAAAAUCUCCGGUAUGAAAUUCCAAGGACCGUCUCCUUUUGUCCGAAUAACUCUUUUGUCGGGACUGGGCUACUUCUAAAUGUUUGCGAAUCUUCUGGACCUUCUCCUCAGUUUCCAUAACCAAGUCUGAUCCCAAAUGUGUCCUUUCUCCUACUCCUGACCAAUUUAAAGGAGUUCGGCAUCUUCGACCAUGCAAGGCUUCGAAAGGUGCCAUCUUAAUGCUAGCUUGAUAGCUAUUAUUAUAGGAAAACUCGGCUAGGGGCAAGCAUUCAUCCCAUAACUUAGAGAAGGUAAGGACACAUGCUCUUAACAUGUCUUCCAAAAUUUGAUUGACCCUUUCUGUCUGUCCUCCAGUUUGAGGAUGAUAGGUAGAACUUCUAAUUAGGGUAGUACCCAUGUCCUUUUGCAAUCGUUCCCAGAAUCUGGAAACAAAUUGGGAACCUCGAUCAGAGAUAAUGGUCUUUGGUACUCCGUGCAAGGAUACGAUCCGGGCUAUAUAGAGCUUGGCAUAUGUCGACACCGGAUAAGUAGUCUUGACUGGAAUAAAGUGAGCUGACUUAGUAAGGCGGUCGACAAUAACCCAGAUGGAAUCAUAUCCUUUUGAAGUGGUAGGCAGUCCAACUAUAAAAUCCAUGGAAAUAUCCUCCCACUUCCAGACAGGGAUUUUUGAAGGUUGUAGUAAUCCUGCCGACUUUUGUAAUAUGGGCUUAACUCUUUGGCAAGUAUCACAUUCAGCUACAUAUCUUGCAAUUUCAGGUUUCAUCUUGGUCCACCAAAAUCUUUGCUUUAAAUCUUGGUACAUUUUAUUGCUUCCGGGAUGAAUAGCAAACUUAGAUAAAUGCGCUUCUUCUAAGAUUAAUCUUCUUAGGUCCUCAUCUUUAGGAACGACUAUCCUUUUCUUGAAGUACAGUCCUCCAUCUUCUUCUUGAUUAAAUUCGGGGAUCUUCCCUUCGGCUUUUUGCUGAUAAAGUAUCUUAUUCCAUGGAUCUUCUUUUUGGGCUGUUAUAAUCCUUUCCUUUAGGGUAUCUUGGAUUAUAAUAUUCCGAAGGGUGCCUUGUUUCACCAUUUCCACACUCAAGUUUUCCAUUUCCUCACACAAGGUCUUAAGGUUAGACUGGACGGUAGUGCAGUGGCAUUGGGCCUUUCUACUCAAGGCGUCGGCCACCACAUUAGCCUUACCAGGAUGAUAAUGGAUUUCUAAUUUAUAAUCUUUAAUCAGUUCCAGCCACCGUCUUUGCCUCAUGUUCAAGUCCAUUUGAGUAAAGAUGUACUUCAAGCUUUUGUGGUUAGUAAAGAUACGACAUUCACUACCCAAAAGAUAGUGUCGCCAUAUCUUUAAUGCAUGCACUACGACAGCAAGUUCUAAAUCAUGGGUAGGGUAAUGUUCUUCAUGACGUUUCAGUUGACGAGAAGCAUAAGCAAUAACUCUACCUUCUUGCAUAAGAACACACCCUAUGCCUUUUCCUGAGGCAUCACAGUAUACAUCAAAGGGUUUCUCUAUGUCAGGUUGAGCUAGCACUGGGGCUGUAGUCAACAAUUUCUUUAAGACUUGGAAUGAUUCCUCACACUCAGGCUUCCAUUCAAAUUUUAUUUCCUUCUUUAAUAAUCCUGUGAUUGGUUUAGAAACCUUUGAGAAAUUGGGGAUGAAUCUAUGGUAAUAGCCGGCCAUUCCCAAGAAACUUCUCACUUCAUGAACAGAGGUUGGUGAUUUCCAAUCCAGUAUAUCCUUGACCUUCCCGGGAUCUACUUCGAUUCCUUUUUCGGACAAUAUAUGUCCAAGAAAUGGAACUUUCUUUAACCAAAAUUCACACUUACUGAACUUGGCAUACAACUGGUGUUCCCGGAGUCUGUUUAGAACAAUGCGCAAGUGUUGCGCAUGUUCCUCUUCAUUUUUAGAAAAGACAAGGAUAUCGUCUAUAAAGACGACCACAAAUUUAUCUAACUCCGGCAUGAAUACUGAGUUCAUGAGGUACAUAAAAUGCGCUGGGGCAUUUGUCAGUCCGAAAGACAUAACCAAGUACUCAUAUAGUCCAUAUCGGGUUGAAAAGGCUGUUUUUGGUAUGUCUUCGUGUUUUAUCUUAAUCUGAUGGUACCCUGACCGAAGGUCGAUUUUUGAAAGACCUUAGCUCCGGACAACUGGUCGAAUAACAAGUCAAUCCGUGGCAGCGGAUACUUGUUUUUAAUGGUUACCGCAUUCAAAGGGCGGUAAUCCACACAUAGCCUUAAUGUGCCAUCCUUCUUUUUAACGAAUAGAGCAGGGCAGCCCCAUGGCGAAGUGCUAGGUCGGACAAAACCUUUAUCCAACAAUUCUUGGAGUUGUAUUUUUAAUUCUGCUAGCUCCUUAGGUGGCAUUUGAUAUGGUCUUCUAGAGAUAGGAGCGGUGCCUGGUUCUAACUCAAUAGUGAAUUCUACCGCUCUAUCAGGCGGUAGCCCAGGCAGAUCUUCUGGAAAUACAUCUAUAAACUCAUUAACCACAGGAAUAGAUUCUAGAGUCACUGCUCUAGUCUUUUUGACCAUCUGGUCCAAGCAAGGAGGAGCGGGUAAUUGGAGCUCAAAAGAGUGGCCUUGGUCAUUUUUCAUGCUAACGACCCGAUUAACCAUAUCAAUUUGAACUUUAUGUUCCUUCAUCCAAUUCACUCCCAAAAUAAGAUCUAUUCCUUGAUCUUCCAGAAUUAAAGGAUAAGUUGCCACCUUAUUUCCUUCUAGGUUUAAAAUCACAUUGCGAGCUACUUGAUUUGUAUUCUGUGUGGCCCCAGUAGCUUGAAUAGCAUACUUGACAUUUAAUGUAUGGACCUCUAGUUGGUGUUGUAUGACAAAUCUUCUACUUAUAAAAGUAUGCGAUGCGCCUGAAUCAAAUAAAACCAUGGCAGGAUAAUUGUUAACAAGAUACAUACCUGCCAGGAUAGGCUCUCCUUCUGGAAUUUCUUCUACGUUCAUAUAAUGAGCUUGUCCUGUCUUGGUGUUGACGAACUUACGACGGACAAACUUUUGUCUAGUGCCUUGGCCCGAGGUCUGAGCCCUUAAGUUUGCGUUUCCCCCAACCUUGGGAAAACGACAGUCCCGGGCGAAAUGUCCUGGCUUUCCACAGUUGAAACAAACCUAUGGAUUUCCUGGAGGGGUGGGGUUACGAAACCCGAGAGGUGGUGCAAUUCCAGGACGAGAAACAGCACUGGGAGCUCUAGCAUUCCAAGAUUGGAAAGGCCGUUGUUGAAAUGAAGGUCGAUACAUGGGUCGAGGAGGACCUCGAUAUACCACCUUCAUUCUCUGUGGAGCAUUCCCAAAGUUUCCAAAAGGAAUAUUCUUCCUCUUCAAUGCUUCUUCUUUCUUUAAGGUUUCAUCCAAAAUUCUCAUCUUUUCUUCCACGGUAAUGGCCGUACUUACCGCAGAGCUAUAGUCUGCGAAGGUGCAGGUGGACAACUUCUCCUGCAUUCUUGCAUUGAGUCCUCGAAGAUAGCAAUCUCUUUUCCUGGACUCAGUGUUGACAUGUUCUGGCGCAUAUUGGGCUAGGUGGUCGAACUCACUGGUAUAUUCUAGAAUACUGCGGUUUCCUUGUUGCAGCCCUAAGAACUGUUCCAGUUUCAUUCUCAUGAUACCUUCCAGCACAAACUGUGUCCGGAAGGCUUCCUUAAAAUUCUCCCACGUAACUUCCCUUCCCAUUGGCUGCCUAGCCAAAUGGCUGGUCCACCAGGUCCCUGCGGGGCCUUGAAGCUGGAGCCCUGCAAACUCGGCCUUUUGAGUGGUGGUGCAUUGGGGAAUUACUCUAAACUUUUGUUCCAUAGUCUGAAGCCAUUUUUUAGCUUCAAGUGGAUGCUCGGCCUUCAAGAAUAUUGGGGGACGGGUCUCCAGGAAUUGGGUGUAGGACACACCCCGCUCUGGAUCCCGCCGAUGUCCACCAUUACCAGUGUUCUGUACGAUCAUCUGGAGUAAUCGGGCCUAUUCUGCCCCGGAGUUCAUAAGGCUGGCUAUAGCAUCUGCCAGCGUGGGUGCCCUUGGUAAAUUCUCCUCCUAACCUCCUGAACCUGAAGCUCGUGGUCCUCUGGGAUCCGUCAUGCUGCCAAGAGUAAACAGGAUAUUAAUAUCUAGGGUGCAAUUUAUCAACGGUUUCCUGCACACUAUUAUGUCACACAUCAUAGUACGAUCACACAUAAACCAUACUUAUUUAUAAUACAUGCCCUGGAGUUACUUUCUACAAAAACCUCCGUACUACUUGUCCAUCACACAUAUCGUACAUAAAUAUAUUACAACAUUUUUCAGACAAAGUUCACUUCAACCAUCAUAGGGAAAAAUGCCUAGUUCCUUGGCAUUUAGUCCCAGUCGAACCAUUGCUGCCUGCAGGAUAUCUUGGUCUACGGUCAUCAAUGUUUGCCCUGGGGGAGCGACGGGUGGGGCUUGAUUGACUGAAUUUUCACUUCCGGACUCCGGCCCGGGGUCGCUUGAAGUGUAGGAAGUAUCAGAUGCGGAGGUGCUAACUUCAGAGUUUCCUUCCAUUUCUUCAGGAUCCUCUUCGCCUUCUGGUUCUUUUUCUCCCCAUUGCUGCAUUGGUCCAUAGCCCUGAGGAUCUAGCUCAUCAGCAUUGGCAUUGGCCCAAGCGAAUUGUUGAUUUCCCGCAGGGGCUUCACCCUGGUCGUCCUCCAUGUCCACAUCAAAUCCCUCUAGAUUCUCAUGAGCAUACAGAUCUAUCUCAGGAACUGCAGGUGGAACCGGAUCUUCUUCCACUUCUACCACAGGUACUAAUUGGUCCGCUUCCUCCAGGUUUGGUGGCUGAGGCUCUUCUGGUGGUGGAGGCGGUGGGAUAUUAACAAUAUUUUGUGCAGGUACCUGGGCCUGCAUCUCCUCCAAAGCUAGACGAAGUGACAGGAUCUCGUCCAGCUGUUGGAAUCUUUCCGCUUCUAGCCUAUUGACAUUUGAUUCAGCUUCCUCCCUCGCUCUAUCUGCCAUGCUCCUGCUGGCUUCAAUGAACCCUUGCAUCACUCUGAGUUUUUCUUCAUAAUCCUCAAUUCUUCUAGAUUGUUCCCUCAUUGUUUUCUCCAUGUCGUGCUCUCUUGCUAACGCCGCCUUUUUGUACAUCUCCUUGUCAUGUCGGGCACCCAUCAACUCCAUCUUAACGUCUUCAUUCUUCUGCCUCUGGUUAUAAUAUUCUCUGAUACAGGCUUGAUGUAAGUUGUACAUAGCCAUCAUAUAAUCAGAAGCAGCAGCAACCAAAACAUCGUGCUCUACUCGAGAAGUGUUCUUCAAAGCUUUAAUCCUUCUCCUCCAUAUCCCGUCAUCUUGAUGCUUGAUAGGAUAGAACCGAGCGGAGCUCGACCCUACCUCCACCUUGUGGUUUUCACAUAAUUCAGUAAGAGCAGUCAUAGCCGCCCUUUCUAUGGUGUCGUUGAACUCAAAACCCGACUCCAUCACCUCCUCCAGACGCCAAUUGGGACGGGUGUCAUCAUCCAGAAUAUGCACAUACACAGUGCAAUAUUGUUUGUGGCCUGUAUCUUCUUUCCUCCAAUAAUAUUCCGGGGGAUUGUGAAAGCCCAAUUCUUGUAGCGUCUUCCAAAGCAACUGCACGAAUCCCGGCUUAUCCAAAUAAUGGCCGCGGGUCCAUCCAUCCUUAUUAGUGUAGCCUUCUUCAAACAUCCUAUAAAAGAAACGAGGUCAGGUCUAACGGCACUCACCAAACCCAAAAGUUUUGAAACAUGCAAUGCAAGCAUGAUGCAACGAUUCCUACGUACUUUCAGACUCAUAUACACACUCGUAGGAAAAUUGGUGGCAUCGUAAUCUCUCCCUAAAUAACAGACUACCGAAUACUAGCGACAUGCAGCAAACAGUUAGCAUCUGCAAAACAAACAACCAGUUAACACUACUGCCACCUGUGACUCUUAUUUUUAUUAUUUUAAAGUAGGGUCUCAGUUUUAAAAGGUAAUAUCUGUUGAUUAUCCCAACCUACGGCUCUGAUACCAGCUGUGGCGGAACCGCCCAACUUAAGCUGGUUUACGUGCGCCUAAUCGCUGUCGGAACAGCGAUUAUCCGAAACGCACCUAAAACAGCAUAAGCCCGGUAGUCCGUCGAGUGUCCCUAGGACUCCUCGAAAAAUCCACGACGUGUUUCAUAGCCAUACAUCAGGAUAGUAUCCGCGAUGGGAUAACAUCAACAAACAUUACAUUUUUACAUACAUAUAGAAGGUACGAGUUAUUACAGAACAUAGAUUGAAGCAAACUUAGCGGUGCAGGGUUAGACAGAGUUCUAAGACUUUAAACAUAAACAGUUUAGGAGAAGAUGUGCAUGUAAAACUUCUUCUUCUCUAGGGGUAUUGUGAGACUCAGGACAAUACCCUAGGGCUUCGGGGUUUCUUCCUCUGUAGACUCCUGCGGAGCUUCUAAAAGAUAGCCACAAGGGGAAAACCCUGAGUACGGGGUACUCAGCAAGUCUUACCCGACUAACCAAUAUAAUAGUUUUCUUGGGAUGUAUAUGAUAGCUUUUUGGUGUACUUGGCUGAUGCAACUUUUGCCGAAAAGCUUACUACAAGUGAUGCCUUAGUUUUAUCUUUUAAUUGGGUUAAGUCAUUACCUAACCAUUCUAAAUGAUGAGCAGAAAGUAAAAACAACCAUAGAUGUUAAGUCAUACAUCAAAUAUCAAUCAAAGGUAUAUAUAUAUAUUGCAUGAAUUGAUACUACGAUGCUCAACAGUGAUCAAGUGCAUUCAUAUCCGAGAAUUGCGGCGAUCCAGAUCUAUUUACAUCCUGCAGGAGAGUACUCUGAUCACCAGCUUUAUACGACUGUCCAGGUCGUACGUAACAACCUCUCGAUUAGCAAAAUCAAUGAUUAGGAAUACGACUACCCGGACUCAGGGAUGCAACCCUACAUGGGACCCCACGUCUGGCCCGAUCACCAUGUGAGUUUCAGGCUACACCCCUGCCAAUCUCCAGCACGUCAAGCGCGGGUACGAAGUAUUCCUGAUCACAGAGUUUACUAACCUACUGGGCUUUGCUGGUCCCAUACCCAGUAAGUGAUCAGAUGCUUAUCACUUGAUCAAAGGUUAAGACAAUGAAUCGGGCCUUAACCAAUUUAAUCUAGCAGACAGAACUACAUCUCUAGCUUCUGUCCGCUUUCAACUUUCCAAGAUAUCUUCUAUAAGCAACAUGUAUGACUCAAAAAGUUUUCCUUAAGGUUGGUAAACCAAGUAUGUAAGCAAGUAAGCAAAUCUAGACUUGGGUAUCUUCUAGGGUUUGAACAAGUGGCAAAGAUGUCCUUAAAACAAGGCAUGAUCAUACACAAGAAUAGGUUGCAAACAACUCCUAGACUUAGUGCAUACAUAAAGCAAAUAAUCGAUAAUUAGACACAUGAAAUAACGACUCCAAAAUAGAUAGGUAUAAAUGCACCGGGGCUUGCCUUGUUCGCUUAAAAAGUUAGUAUUCUCUGACGGGUUGGCUUCACAGGGGACUAACUCAAAAACUUCUUCGAAUUCCGAAGGUCCUUCUGAAAAUUCCAAAUAUUCUCCUUCUGGUGCUUCGGGAUCUAUAGCAUAAUACAUGCAGGGGUUAGAAAUGCAAAAUUUUGAAUAAAAGACUAUACAACUUUCCUUCAUGAUAAAGUUGCAAGCCAACAAGGACUAUACAACCUAUCAUGAUAAAGUUGCAAGCCAACACACAUAAACCCAAAAAGAUUAACCCACAAUUUUUAUUUUUCUUACUUAACCCUCCUUAAGGCUUUUUCUUUUAUUUUUAGAAAAAGUUAUAAUUAUUUUCCAACUUGAAAACCUAAUUUCCUAUGAGUUAAGAAUAAUUUGUGAUUUAAGAAAAUGUUAUUCAUAUUUUAUACAUUUUAUAAAUAUUAAGUAUUUAUUUAAUUACCUUAAAAGGAAGGCAUUAAAUAAAUACCCGAAUUUUUAUUAUUUUUCUAGGGUGUAAAAAUUUUAAUGCAUAAAGGAAAAUAAAACAAGCCUAACAAAAUUGGUUUCACUAAUUUUGGACACUCCUAGAAAUUUCUGUGAUUUAAAUGGUGUAAAACGGAUUUAAACUAAUUACUUUCUUAAAGGAAAUCUAAUUUUCCCGAAAAAUACCCGGAAAAACUUUUCUUACUCAGCCUAACUCUACCCCCCUCGCAUGCGCACUGGGCCCCACGGCGCGGACCCACCUAUUCCUAUUCCUCUCUACCCGCCGGCCUUAUUCUCCCCCUAACGGGCCCCGUGGGCCGAUUCUCUUUUUCUUUCCCCUUCUCCGGCCCGACACCGGCCCAACGGCCUUCUUCCUUUUUCUCCUUUCUUACGCGAACGCGGCUUGCUUUCACUGGGCCUCCGGCCUUUUUCCCUUUACGGCCGAUCGCGCGCGCGUCGCUGGGCUUCAAGGCCGCGGCCCAACAGACGGCCGCGCGCCCGGUCUCCUUCUCCCCCUCCUCUCCUUUCUCUCUCUGCCACGCGGGCCCGAGCGACCAGACGCUUCUUCCUCCUCCCGCCAAAACGCGCACGCGACAGGGGCGGCGCGACUUGCCGGCCGGCGCCCCACCGGCGGCGAUGCUGGGUCAGGACAGCACCCCUACACCCUCACGCACCCGCGUGCGGCGACAACUCCUUGGGAGAUGGCCGGAGCCACUCCCUCCACGGCGGCGGGCGGCGGCGCCUACGGCCGGUCGCGGCUACGCACGACGACGGCUGAACUUACCCCGACGACUACUGCUACAGCUUCCUGGUACCCCGAGGACUCACCUUCGACUACCCACACAGACAGAGAGGAGCGGCAAGAGGGUGCUCACCGUGAGCAGGAGGUGCGGCGAUGGCGGACAGAAACAACGGCAAGCACGGUUACUCCGGCAUGGAUGUUGGACAACAACUUGGCUGGGGUGUAGCUGGGGUGUCUGUGGAGGAGUGGGCGAGAGGAAUCGACGGGAGGUGAGGCGUGGCGGUGGAAUUUUGCUCGGCGGCGGCAACGGAGACAGAGGCGCUGACGGCGGUAAAAAGAGCGGCGGUGAAACGGCAGCGCGGGAGCGGUAAAUAUACGAACUGUUUACCGCGCGCAUGGGCGACACCGUGGCCUACUCAUAGGCUUGCGUGGUGAGGAGGUGGCCUAGCUAGUUGCGCUGGCGAGCGACCGACGACGGCGGCGGCGACACGUCCUGUUGCUCUAUCAUCACCCCUUUUCUUUCUCCUGAUGCCCGAAAUCUUCAGAGCUCCACCGCGGCCGAUUCCAAAUCCGACGGUGCACAUGUGUCUUAACCAAUAUUGUAGAUAAACUUGAAUCCUCCAACUUUUAUUUUGGCUUUACCCCGAGAUAAACAUCAAACCGGGCGAAAUUUUGAAUUGUUUCUUGUGUCUGUCUGAAUUUGACUGAAUCCAAAAUUCAGUUCGUCAGUUAACUGACAGUGACGUCGAUCUCACUUGGUGAAUCAAAUUAGUGACCCAAUUCUUUUUCUUCCAGUCCAACUUCUUCCCAAAUAUGUUCUACAACAUCCCAAGUUUCCAUUUUGCUCAAGAACACUUACCCCUCUUGAUCUACAUUGCUCUGAAUUCAAGUCCAAAGUUGACCCGAUGCUGCUGUUUUCAGACUUAACCGAUUUCAGUGAUGUCAUUCGUAGUGACAAGAUGUUGACUUUGAGCUCGAAUUUGAAUUCAUUCCCUUCACUGUUCCUGGCCAACAACACCCAAAUCUUGUAGUCCAAAGUUCAUACUUCAAUAUGGUAUAGUUGUCCUGAUGCACUUAUUUGAAAAAUUCUUCAGAAAUCAAUUUCCAAAAUGGACUCUGAGGCUGUUUUUUUUCUGAAUUCCUAUUUUCGGACAGUGAACAGUAAACUCAAUUUUCCUUUUUGUUCCUUUGAUUUCUCUGAGAUAUUUAGCACCAUUUCUGUUCCAAAUUCUUGAUCCUUAAGUUUUAGUCACUCUUACACUUAUAAUCCACAUUUUUGCCGAAUUUUUUCUGAAUUUCAAAUUCAAAAAUCAAAUUUCGGUCAAAUUUGACCCGAAUUUGAUAUUUGGCCAAUUUCUUUUUCUUUUCUUCUCAACUUGCUUUUAAUUCUUCAAAGUCACUUAGAUGACUAAAUUGGCAGCUGUUACAGACGACGACGACGACGACGACGACAAUGAGGAGGAAGAGGAGGAGGACGAUGAGGAGGAGGAGGAGUUUGUCCUGUCCCCCCGGUCGGGAGCGCUCGUCAUUCGGGAGACGCGCUCCCAAACGGCCACGAGGGACGAAGCAGGCGGAUCGUCCGCCCGGGGCCUGGUCCCGUAAAGCUCUGGGGCCACGCCCCAGUGGUCGGCGCAGAGCGCCCCCCAGGGGUCAGCGUAGAGCGCCCCCCAGGGGUCGGCAAAACCCGCUCCCCAGGGGUCGACGGAGCCCGCUCCCGCCCCUGUGCCUGCCGCGCAGGCACAGAGGAGCGGCGACAAGCGGCCAUUCCCGGACGCCCCGGGGUUGACGUCCUGCUCGGAGGCGAAGCGCGCACGCCGUCCUUGCGUCAGGGGAACGUACGUUGAAUUUCCUCGCGAACCUCGUUCCCUUCCAUGCGCUGUGUUUGUUUCUGCUGAUGUCUGUUGACUAUUUUGCAGCACCGCACCUCGAGGCCUCGUCCCACAACUGGUGCCCAAGAAGGCGCUGCGGGUGUUAUCCGCCCCUGCGGGGCGUACCGCGGCCCCGCCUGCGGCGAGCGGCGGGGUCCCUGGUGAGGUUGCAGGUUCCACCGCGGAGGUGGCCCCCGCGGCGGCGACCGGUGGAGUGGUGCCGCCACCGGGCACGGGAGAGGGUGCAGACCUCGCUCCGCCUUCGGCUCCUUCGGCUGACCCCGCGGUGCGGGGUAUCGCCCCCGGGGGGCCCCCCGGCCGGGGAGGUGAUCGACCUCGACGCCGACGAGGCGAAGGGAACGGCGGCGGCGGAGACGGGGACAGAUGUCCCUGCGACCGCGACGGGGACGGCGGCGGCGAUGGAGGAAGGAGAGUCUGCCCCCGUAGCCCCGGCCGGGACAGCGGCAGCGGGGGAGACCGGGACGCUUGCCCAAGCGGCUGUGACAGAGGAGGUGGUGGCGACAGAGGCGGGGAUGUCCGCCCGGGGUCCAUGGCGGAGGUGGCACCUGUGGCGGAGGCAGAGGUGCCUGCUCCGGAGGCCCCGACGGCGGCGGAGAUGCCUGCUUCGGCGAUCGCGACGGAGGGCGACGUGGCUACGGAGGCACUUGCUUCGGCGCCCACGUCGGAGGCGGUGGCGCCGACGGGCGGGCCCGCGGCGGCCCCGACGGGGGCAGAGGCGCGUGCGCCGGGACCGUCGGUGGGCCCGGCGGCUUCUGGGAUGGUGGUGCCCGUUGUGACGGGGGUGUCGAGGUCGGCUCCUGCCUCUGGUUCGGCCACUUCCAUUCCCAAGGCAUGGAGGGGGUUCGUCCUGCGUUGGUCGUCCCAUGACGACCCGCAUAGGCCCCUCUUCACGUUGGAUGAUGCCGCGAAAUGGGGCAAGUGGCAGGCGAUGCAGAACGGCCUCGCCAACGCCCGCGCGGCUCUGUCUUUGGCGCUGGGGCAGUUGGACAGCAUCGUCCUCCCUGGCAGCCAGGUAUGGUACCUUCUCCGUUGGUGGCCGGAUCCUUCCCGUUGUUCUACCACUGAUGUCAUAUUGUUUUUCAGGCUCUGCAAGAAUGCAGCCAGGGGAAAUCUGAUUUCCUUCGGCUGGAGCGGAGGCUCUGAGAGCGCUUCAACUUGGAGAGGCAGCGCACCGAGGAGAUGUCGAAGCAAGUUGCUGCCGCCCAGCAGGUCAUCAAUGACCUGCAGAGGCGCGAGCAAGCGGCUCAGGAGGACGCGCGGAGGGUGGAGGCCAAGUUCCAGGUUGUUGCCGAGAGGGCCCGCUGCGACCGCGAGGAGUUCCAGGCUGCUGCCAAGAAAGCCCGCCACGACGCCGAGGAGCUCGCACGGCUGAAGGGGGAGCAUGGAGCCCUUCAAAAGACCGUCGAGCGCAUCCGGCGCGAGCGGCAAAAGGCCUGGCAGGACCGGGACGCCGAGAGGGUCCGGAAGGAGGAGGCCGAGAAGGAGGCGGCCGACCUUGGGGCGGAGGUCGGUCAGCUUCGAGCGUAGGCGGAGGAGCUUCUGGCCUCCGUGGCCUAGGGGCUCGACCGGGAGUGCCAGCUGAACGCCCAGUCCGAGGGUAAGACUCUGCUCAUUUCUUUGUCUUUGUGAUGUUGCGGUGAUUUUCGAUUUAGCGAGUUCCUCCGGGUGAUCCUUGCAGGCGAGCUCACCCGGCUGAGGGACGUGCUCGACGCGGAGCACGCUGAGCAUGGCGACCUGCGGAAUGCUGGUCGCGUCGUCUGCGACAACCUCAACGUGGUUCAGGAGGAGGGGACGAGUUCGCUGGCGACUCGUGUCCUCGGGACCUACCGCCGAGCCCGUGAGAUCGCCCUGGAGGCGCUCCACACCGGCAUGAGGCGAGCCUUCAGGGUCUUCGGCUCCCACUAUUCCGGCAUCAACUUCGCUGGGAUGAGCGGAGGGUAGGCCGCCGGCUACUCCGAGGCUGAGCUGAGCGAGAUCGACACGUCGGUGCUCAACCCGGCGGAGGCCUUGGCGAAGCUCCUGGAGGAGGAAGCCGUCCCUCCCGAAGAUCCCCGGUCGGGUUAACUAUAUCGGGCUUUUGGCGCCCAAGAUGUAAAUACGUCAGUUUCAGACUCGUUUUGUAAUGGCCGUAAAGGCUUUUCUAAAAAAAAUUUCGAUCCUCUUUCGUGUUUUUCAGACUUGGAAGUUUAGAGCGCGUCGUUGGUUGUGUCAGUAAGCUUUGAUGAGCGAGGGCACCGUAGCCGCUGGGGCGUGGGUUUUUUCGCAGCCCGAUCCAUCUUGCCUGAACACCGUUCGUGCGCUCUUUCUUUUUCAUGCUUGAAUGUUCAGAAAGAGGGUUGGCUCGGAGAGAAAGAGUGUUUCGAGAGGGUGUCCAGUGGCCUAGGCCGGAGCCCCUGAUAGCCCCCGAGGGAUAUGCAGCCCUGAGGUAGGGUCAGGGUCGGAUAUCCCUGAGUUCGAGCUGAAACUUGGACGGGACCAACUCAAAAUUCUUUUUUUCGUAAAAAAUUUUAGAUGUACAGAAGUGUUCAUGUACAAAACUUGGAAAUGAAGGCUAGGGGUAGAAGCGUCUUAGCUGUUCUAUGUUCCAAGCAUUGCUGAAGACUUGUCCGUCGGGAGUCGCCAGCUUGUAGGUGCCUGGUCGCAGUACCUGCGUGAUGAUGAAGGGACCUUCCCACGGAGGGGUCAGCUUGUGCCGACCCCUGUUAUCUUGGACGAGACGGAGCACCAGGUCGCCAAUGUUAAAGGCUCGGCCUUGUACCUUGCAGCUGUGGUAGCGUCGUAAGGCCUACUGGUACUUGGCCGAGUGCAGCAGGGCCACGUCGCGCGCCUCGUCGAGCUGAUCUCGUGCGUCUUCGAGCGAUGUUUGGUUCCCUUGUUCGUCGUACGCCUUGACCCUUGGCGACCCGUACUCCAGGUCGGUGGGUAAAUUGGCCUCGGACCUGUAGACCAUGAAGAACGGGGUGAAGCCAGUCGCACGACUGGGGGUUGUCCUUAGACUCCAAAUGACUGCUGGGAGCUUCGCGACCCACCGUCCGCCGAAUUUUUUGAGGCGGUCGAAGAUCCGUGGCUUGAGACCCUGGAGUAUCAUGCCGUUGGCUCAUUCGACCUGCCCGUUCGUGCGGAGAUGUGCCACGGCCGACCAGUCCACUCGGAUGUGGUGGUCGUCGCAGAACAGGAGGAACUUCUUUUCGGUGAACUGCGUGCCGUUGUCCAUGAUGAUGGAGUUGGGGAUCCCGAAGCGGUAGAUGAUGUCGGUGAAGAAUUGUACUGCCUGGUCGGACUUGAUCUGCGUGAUCGGUCGUGCUUCGAUCCACUUGGAGAACUUGUCGACGGCGACAAGUAGGUGGGUGAAGCCCCCAGGCGCUUUUUUAAAGGGCCCGACGAGAUCCAGCCCCCAGACCGCGAAGGGUCAUGUGAUGGUGAUGGUCUGGAGUGCCUGCGCGGGUAGAUGGGUUUGGCGUGCGAAGAACUGGCACCCUUCGCAGGUGCGGACCACGUGGGUGGCGUCGGCGACCGCUGUCGGCCAGUAGAAACCUUGCCGGAAGGCGUUGCCCACGAGGGUUCUUGGUGCGGCGUGGUGGCCGCAGGCUCCGGUGUGGAUGUCUUGAAUUAGCGCCUUUCCCUGCUCGAUCGGGAUGCAGCGCUGGAGGAUGCCGGUGUGGCUUCUCUUGUAGAGCUCUUGGUUGCUAAUAACGAAGCAUUUGGCGCGACGCGCAAUCCUUCGUGCCUCCGUUUUGUUCCCCGGGAGCGUGUUGCGGACGAGAUAGUCAAGGCACGGGGCUCUCCAAUCGGGCGGGGGGUCGGCCUCCACCGCGGGGUCUGUCGUGAUUUCCAUGACCACGGGGUCGGAGGGGUCGGCUUCCGGGGCUGAGGCAGGCGAAGUAGUGCCAACCCCAUUGGGGCCAGCGCCCGAGCCCGGGACAGCUGGCGCGCUGCCGACCUCUCCCGGGUCAGGGCCCGAGUCUGGAGUCGGUGGUGCGUCGCCGACCCUCUCAGGUUCUCGGUACCGGACUGAGGGCUUGAACUGGUCGCUGACGAAGACACCGUCGGGUACGGGCCUUCGGCCGGACGCUGCUUUCGCCAGCUCAUCAGCUGCCUCGUUGAAAUGCCAUGCGACGUGGUUGAGUUCCAGCCCGUCGAACUUGUCUUCAAGCUUGCGAACUUCGUUCCAGUAGGCUGCCAUCUUGGGGUCGUGGCAGCUCCACUCCUUCAUGACUUGUUCGACGACUAGCUGAGAGUUGCCCCGGACGUCCAGCUGACGGAUGCCUAGUUCGAUGGCGAUGUGAAGCCCAUUGAGGAGGGCCUCGUAUUCGGCGACAUUAUUGGACGCAGGAAAGUGGAGACAGAUCAUGUACCUAAUGCGCACGCCUAGAGGAGAGAUGAAGACGAGGUCUGCUUUGGCACGGGCUCUCAUCAGCGAUCCGUCGAAGUACAUCAUCCAGUACUCCUCCUUCUCCGGCGUCGAUGGUGUUUGGAUCUCCGUCCACUCUGCUACAAAAUCGGCGAGUACCUGGGACUUGAUGGCGGUGCGGGGGGCGUAGGUGAUUCCCUGGUCCAUGAGCUUGAGUCCCCACUUCGCGAUCCGUCCCGUAGCAUCCUGGUUCCGGAUCACUACGCCGAGUGGGAACGACGAGAUGACCGUUACCGGGUGGGAGGUGAAGUAGUGGUGCAGCUUCCUCUUCAUGAUGAGGACGGUGUAGAUGAGCUUCUGGAUCUGCGGGUAGCGCGCCUUGGACUUGGACAAGACUUCGCUGACGAAAUACACCGGGUGCUGUACCUUAAGGGCGUGUCCCUCCUCUUCUCGCUCCACCACGAGGGCUGCGCUAACUACCUGGGUAGUCGCCGCUAUGUAGAGCAGGAGGGGCUCGCCGUUGGUCGGCGGGACUAGGAUUGGGGCCUUCGUCAGAAGGUCUUUGAGCCGGUCAAGCGCUUCCUGGGCCUCGACGGUCCAUUCGAAGCGGUCAGUCUUCUUUAGGAGUCGGUAGAGGGAGAGUCCUCGUUCGCCGAGGCGCGAGAUGAAGCGGCUCAGAGCCGCCAAGCAUCCCGUGACGCGUUGGUCUCCUUUUAUGUUUUGGAUCGGCCCCAUGUCGCUAAUAGCCGCUAUCUUCUCUGGAUUGGCCUCGAUGCCGCGUACGGAGACGAUGAAACCUAGCAACAUACCCCUCGGAACUCCGAAGACGCAUUUUUCGGGAUUGAGCUUGAUAUGCUUGUUCCUCAGCCUUUCGAAGGCUAGUUCGAGGUCGGGGACGAGCUGGUCGCCCUUCCUGGACUUAACCACGAUGUUGUCGACGUAAGCCUCCACGGUUUGCCCGAUGAGGUCCCCGAAACAUUUCAGCAUGCAUCGCUGGAACGUAGCCCCCGCGUUUUUGAGGCCGAAUGGCAUCUUGACGUAGCAGUAGGGGCCGAAGGGGGUGAUGAAAGAGGUAGCCAGCUGGUCGGACUCUUUCAUCGCGAUCUGAUGGUAGCCGGAGUACGCGUCAAGGAAGCUGAGGGUUUCGCACCCGGCGGUUGAGUCGACUAUCUGAUCUAUGCGUGGCAAAGGGAACGGAUCCUUUGGGCACGCCUUGUUGAGACCGGUAUAGUCAACACACAUCCUCCAUUUCCCAUUCUUUUUUCGCACAAGUACGGGAUUAGCCAGCCACUCAGGAUGGUAUAGUUCCUUGAUGAAUCCGGCUGCUAGAAGCUUCUGGAGCUCCUCGCCGAUGGCCUUGUGUCUCUCCUCGUCGAAGCGGCGCAUGCCUUGCUUCACUGGCUUGGAGCCGGCCUUGAUGUUCAAGGAAUGCUCGAUAUACCGUUAGCACUGUCCCUUCUAAAGGGAUCCACUGAUAGUUUGCUGAAUAUUAAGAUAUACCGUUAGCUACUGCACUGUACACAUUUCUUUUGCAGGUUGUUCUUCACCUGACAGGUAAAAGGUUUGAAGCAUCCUUUGCAUAUCCGUGUGCUAAUCUUCUUUUCAUACAUUCUUAGGCCAACAUUUAUAGGAUUUUUUUACCUUAUGUUUGUUUAGCAUAGUAUUUAGAAACCGUCAACAUUACCUGCAUGCAAGACAUGGUGAUAGAUAUUGGCCACACCAAUGUGAUGUUCCUUUAUCUACCGAUUCUUACUCUAUGUCACUGUGAUGCUGCUGACUCGAUCAAUUGAUGAUCAAUUGACUCAAGUCGCAGGCCAGGGCUGCGCUCUUCUUCCGGGGCUCCAAGAUGGACCUGUCCGCAUUGCCGAGCACAGAGGCAGAGUCCAGCGCGGCUGCCGCACCAGUCAAAGGGAGGAAUGCUGCCUCCCACAAAUCUCUUCCAUUUGUGUCUUGCUAGAUGACAUCUGAAAUUUUCCACAAAUUUCUGUGGAGCCCCAUGGCGCAGUUGGAGCCCUUGCAGGUUGUCGUGCUAUAGCACAGGGCAACCCUGAUGAAGUUGCUGCAGCACUGUGUAGAUACGCAGCACCAGAACCUUCUACUUAGUUGCUGACACUAAUCUCAUCAAGAACCAUGUCUAUUUGUAUCUUACAAAUUUCAUUGGAUAGGUUGAUGUGUUGCCAUCAUCAUGUGGGGCCUGUGGAGCAGAAUGUGUCACCCUGAUGAACUAGUUAUGUUGUAUUAAAACAUGUGUUUGAUAGCAGCACAAAACUUUGCGCAGCCUUGAUCACUUGUAUGUAGUUCCCAUACAAGGUAGUUCCCAGUUGUAUGUAGCAGUCUUGAUCACUUUUUAAAUAAACUGCAUGUGAACUUGAAAAAAGGCAAUUUAGUCUAGGAUGUUAUGCACUUAACAUCCUAUGAAGUAUGAUAUGCAUACACAUAACCUGUUUGAUUAAAUGCCUUGAUGCUCAACAACUAGUAUGCCAACUUUCGUACUUGUCAACCUGUUUGAUUAACCUGUUCAUGAUUCAUAUAUAAUAAUGUAAAGCUAACAAGAUAAUUGCUGGUAGAGUGACUUUCUAUUAGAAUGUUGCACAUCUUAGUGUGGGUAUUUUCCAAGAAAACAAAAUGAAUGUUAAACGCAUCGUGUAUCACUUGCAGGAAAGCUCGGGUGAAGAGCAGGGCAGCAGGAAAUGGUGGCAUUUCUGAGAUCAAAGUGUUUGUCAGGUAGAAGCAAGAUGAGUUGAAGGCCAAGCUUGAGCUUGUUCUGGGUCAAAAUCGACCAAGCUAAUUGUUGGUGCUAUUGGUGCAUGAUAACUAUUGGUCCUGUUGGUUUUUGCUAACUGUUCAUGCUAUCUGUUGUUUCUGUAAGCAAAGAAACAUGAAUGUAUUGCUGUUUUUGAAUGAUCUGAAUGUAUUUGCUGGAACCUGGACAUGCUAACUGUUUUUAUUUUGGUUGAUAUAAUAUUAUAUAUAUUUUGGGUUGAAAUGAUGAUUGUGAUAUAUGCGCUGAAAUAGUAUUUAGUGGGCUCUUGUUCAGUGGGUUUCAUAUGUGGGCUGAAAAUUAUAGCCACGACGUUG